CCUACGGGUGGCAGCAGUGGGGAAUAUUGCACAAUGGGCGCAAGCCUGAUGCAGCCAUGCCGCGUGUGUGAAGAAGGCCUUCGGGUUGUAAAGCACUUUCAGCGGGGAGGAAGGCGGUGAGGUUAAUAACCUCAUCGAUUGACGUUACCCGCAGAAGAAGCACCGGCUAACUCCGGGCCAGCAGCCGCGGUAAUACGGAGGGUGCAAGCGUUAAUCGGAAUUACUGGGCGUAAAGCGCACGCAGGCGGUCUGUCAAGUCGGAUGUGAAAUCCCCGGGCUCAACCUGGGAACUGCAUUCGAAACUGGCAGGCUAGAGUCUUGUAGAGGGGGGUAGAAUUCCAGGUGUAGCGGUGAAAUGCGUAGAGAUCUGGAGGAAUACCGGUGGCGAAGGCGGCCCCCUGGACAAAGACUGACGCUCAGGUGCGAAAGCGUGGGGAGCAAACAGGAUUAGAUACCCUAGUAGUC
rnacentral:rRNA from 1 species